GGAAAGCAGGAUCAUAUGGCUAAACAUUGUGUAAAGGUGCCAUGUGUGCCCAAUUGCGAAGCAGCGAGCUGGACAUAGAUGUUGCUAUUUUAAGCGAGCAGUGUAAAAACAGGUACCUUUAUAUAGUGGACGUACUUAAUGACGCUAAGCAAAGAAACUCGACACUUAUAACAGGUAAUUUUAAUGCGAGGGCAGCAUUGUGGUAAAAGAAAAAAACUCGAAGGGCAAGAAGUUUCUGAAUGCGCUAGCAGUGUUUGACUUAGUUCUACUUAACAGUGGCACAGAAAACACAUUCAGCAAAAUUGUACUGGUUCCAUCAUAGACCUCUCAUUUAUAAAUAGGGUACUGAAAACGAGAGAUGGCACAUGACGAUACAAGAACUGCCCAAGCCAGAAAUAUAAAUAGCGACCCUCGUAUUCCCAACAUCAAUAUACCAGCAGAUUAUAAUGAAGUUACGUUUCCUCACGGCAAUUGGAUUUCCCGGCAUCUUAGAAGUUAUGCAGACUGCGUUCAAGUCGAAUUGAGUAUAUAAGGUGGCGCCAUUAAAAAACAGUUUCUUUAUAUUUCGCGAUUUUGACAAGUUGACGUCAGCUCUUUUCGCAAUACAAAACAAACGCACGAAACAAACAAAAGCAGGAGAUAUUACAUGUUUGUGAAAAUUCAAUGAAUGGCUUGGUAAUAUUGUGAUUUGUGAGAUUUAAACCUAUCAAACUAAUGAAAACGAAGUGCCGUGUGUUACAUUGUGAAAGCACAAUGUGAUAUAAAGCCUCCAAAUUCAGUUUGCUUGCGUGUUUAUGCGGAAGACGCCGUGGCAAGAAAGUAUGUGUGUGCGUGUUAAAUAAAUCUUCCCCUUUUUCAAUUCAUGUUUAAAAUUUAAUAAACAUGUUUUUUAUUCCACAUA